rnacentral:rRNA from 1 species
CCUACGGGAGGCAGCAGUGAGGAAUAUUGGUCAAUGGACGAGAGUCUGAACCAGCCAAGUAGCGUGAAGGAUGACUGCCCUAUGGGUUGUAAACUUCUUUUAUAAAGGAAUAAAACGAGGCACGUGUGCCUUUUUGUAUGUACUUUAUGAAUAAGGAUCGGCUAACUCCGUGCCAGCAGCCGCGGUAAUACGGAGGAUCCGAGCGUUAUCCGGAUUUAUUGGGUUUAAAGGGAGCGUAGAUGGGUUGUUAAGUCAGUUGUGAAAGUUUGCGACUCAACCGUAAAAUUGCAAUUGAUACUGGCAGUCUUGAGUACAGUUGAGGUAGGCGGAAUUCGUGGUGUAGCGGUGAAAUGCUUAGAUAUCACGAAGAACCCCGAUUGCGAAGGCAGCUUACUAAACUGUGACUGACAUUGAUGCUCGAAAGUGUGGGUAUCAAACAGGAUUAGAUACCCCUGUAGUC